rnacentral:tRNA from 1 species
UGGAUUGUGGCUCAGCGGUAGAGCGCUCGCCUAGCACAUGCGAGGCCCUGGGUUCGAUCCUCAGCACCAA